rnacentral:rRNA from 1 species
UCCUACGGGAGGCAGCAGUGGGGAAUUUUGGACAAUGGGCGCAAGCCUGAUCCAGCCAUUCCGCGUGAGUGAAGAAGGCCUUCGGGUUGUAAAGCUCUUUCGGCAGGGAAGAAACAGUUGAGGCUAAUAUCCUUGACCAAUGACGGUACCUGCAUAAGAAGCACCGGCUAACUACGUGCCAGCAGCCGCGGUAAUACGUAGGGUGCGAGCGUUAAUCGGAAUUACUGGGCGUAAAGCGUGCGCAGGCGGUUUUUCAAGUCUGAUGUGAAAGCCCCGGGCUUAACCUGGGAACUGCGUUGGAAACUGAAAGACUAGAGUGCGGCAGAGGGGGGUAGAAUUCCACGUGUAGCAGUGAAAUGCGUAGAUAUGUGGAGGAAUACCGAUGGCGAAGGCAGACCCCUGGGUCGACACUGACGCUCAUGCACGAAAGCGUGGGUAGCAAACAGGAUUAGAUACCCUGGUAGUCCACGCCCUAAACGAUGUCAACUAGUUGUUGGGGAGGGAGACCUCCUUAGUAACGCAGCUAACGCGUGAAGUUGACCGCCUGGGGAGUACGGUCGCAAGAUUAAAACUCAAAGGAAUUGACGGA